GCCCCUCGGAAUAUUGUUUUGAGAAGGGGGAGACGAGUCUGUUUCCCCGAACAGGACCUGGACAGCCUCUUCAGGUCUGCAGCCGGAGACACCCUCUCCGAAAUUUCUCAGGAAAUUCUACCUUAGAAAGAUCUAGUUAACGCAGGUUAGAAAGCUGGUCUUUUAUUAGUUCAAGAACCUAGCGAGCAGCUCAUUUAGCCAGGUGUCGGUAGUGGGUGAGAACAGUCGAGGACAAAAUUAAAUUAGGUGUGUUUCCUGGCUUUAAGUUCAGCUACUGUCGUGGGGAUUUACUAUUUCUCUCUCCUGCACAGGGAGAUAAUUUUUUAAAAAAAGUAAGAGGCAUAACCUUGGGGAGUCAGACCUGAGUUGAAAAUCCUUUUUGCUUACACUUGGGUUUCUGUUUUGAUCUGGCAAAUGAUUGUACCAGCACAUGGUAAACGUGUAUUUAGCCCUUCCUUUUGCCAGGCACUGUACUAAAUGCGCUAUGUACAGUCUUAAAAUCCUUACAACAGCCCUCUGAGCUGCAGGAUGGAGAGCCUUCAGCAAUUCCUGGGAAACUUAGGACUUCGUUUAUAGGGUGCUGUGAACACCCUCAGGGCACCAAAUGAAGGCGUGGCUGAAAAGGCUGAUUUACUGCGGAGGUGGAGAAUAGGAAGCAAGACUCCAGCCUCCAUGACCUUCCCUGAGUUCCAAAG